rnacentral:rRNA from 1 species
AACGCGAAGAACCUUACCAAGGUUUGACAUGGCCGGAAAAGCAUCAGAGAUGGUGUGUCCUUCGGGGUCGGUCACAGGUGGUGCAUGGCUGUCGUCAGCUCGUGUCGUGAGAUGUUGGGUUAAGUCCCGCAACGAGCGCAACCCUCGUCCUAUGUUGCCAGCGGGUCAUGCCGGGGACUCAUGGGAGACUGCCGGGGUCAACUCGGAGGAAGGUGGGGAUGAGGUCAAGUCAUCAUGCCCCUUACGUCCAGGGCUGCACACAUGCUACAAUGGCCGGUACAACGGGCUGCUAUUCCGCGAGGAGGAGCCAAUCCCCAAAGCCGGUCUCAGUUCGGAUCGCAGUCUGCAACUCGACUGCGUGAAGUCGGAGUCGCUAGUAAUCCCGGAUCAGCAACGCCGGGGUGAAUACGUUCCCGGGCCUUGUACACACCGCUGUA